GCCCAGGUAGCAUAGUGGUUUGAGUGUUGGUCUGCAACUCUGGCGAUCAGAGUUCAAUUCCAGUUUGGCCA